rnacentral:tRNA from 1 species
GCAAACAUAGUUUAGUGGUAGAACUCAACCUUCCCAAGGUUGAUAUGCGAGUUCGAUUCUCGUUGUUUGCUCCA